ACUAGGCUUUUAGUUAUAUCUUCAGUUUUGUGGUGCUUCCUUGAUGGAUUAUAAUUUUCACGAUUACUUAUUUAUUAGUAUUGUAACUCCUUAUUUGAAGAAACAUAUGUUUUCUCACUGGGAGAUUCCAAAGUUAUUAUUUAUGUCGUGGCAUUUGAUUUUGGUUAUCGUAUUGGAUGUUUGAUUAGGAACAUGAAAGGACGAUGGAGAGAAUUGGCUACGUCAAGUAUAAAGGCACCAAAGAAAAGGACUGCACGUUUCUCCUUUGGCUUUCCCAACUCUAGCCAAAACACAGUGCACAUCUAGAUGCAACAUCCAUCAACAGAAUUUCCUUCAACUUUCCUUCAAAGAAGUACUUGAGGAGUUUGCUCUUUUAUGUACAGGGGCUGUGAAUCACACUUUUUGGGAUGCCCUGCAUGUUUGUUCACGAUGGACUGGCUCACAAGAGAUUUCCCGUGGAGCCUAUUGCCAAUGCACCUUAGUUGUGAAAGGUAGCUGCAGCUCAUCAAGCAACACAAGUUCUUCGGACUGUAGUUCAACACAAGUUCUUUGGACUGUGGUUUACGUACUAUUUAAACUUAAUUCAAGUACACUUAGCACCAUAGCUGCCUAUAUUACUCAGCCGGAAGAGGUUAUGACAAAUAUUGCAGCAAUGUCAAACUUUAACAAGAUUUUAAUUGACCUUAUUCAAUUGAGAUUAGUCCUGAAGUUUGAUGGAAUUAGGCCGGGAAAUGGAGAAGAUUAUCAAACCAACGACUCUGACAAUCCAUUCACAUAUUGAAGACCGUCUAUUUUUGAGGGUUGCAUUUUCUGAAGAGGAUGAAGGGCAAGAAUUGGAUGGCUAGGCUUCUGCAGUUAAUUCCCACGGGAACCUCCAUAGUAUGGGAGUAAGGAAAAUCGGAGUCACAACUCUGCCACCAACGGGUUGUUUGCCAGCAGCCAUUACUUUGUUUGGUAGAGGAAGCAAUCAAUGUGUUGCUAGAUUGAACCAAGAUGCUGUUUUCUUCAACAGCAAGCUCAACAGGACAUCGGGAUUCUUUGAAUCAAGGAGAGCUUGUUGUGGGACUGGUACGAUAGAAACAUCAUUCCUUUGCAAUGCCAGGUCAAUAGGGACAUGCUCCAAUGCCACAGAGUACGUCUUUUGGGACGGAUUCCAUCUCUAAUGAGAAAUUAGCUCAAAGUCUGCUGCAGCAGGGCUUUGAUCUCAUCUCUUAAUGCCUGAAAGCUGCGGAAAUCGUCUACUUUUCUAGUUCAGUCAUUUAGUGAUACUGCUCUAUAGUUGCUGUUGGAGUUGCAUCAAGUUUAAGCUAUAUAUUAUGUCUUGUGAAGUAGUAGUUAUAAACUAUUUAAGGGGCUGCUGAUAGCCUUCCUAAGUUCAUAUAUGUUUGCCAAGAUUUUACCUACUGUUACAUAAUAAUCAGCAAAAAGACUAUUAAUA